GAGUGUGCUUGUAUGUAGUGUUGACGUUUCAAUGCAGGAGUGUGUUUUAUAUGUAGUGUUGAAGUUUGAAUGGAGGGGUGUAUUUGUAUUUAAAGUUGCGGCUCAGAUGCACAGGUACACACUCUGACGCACAAGCAGAUACAUACACUGACUACAUACAGAUAAACAGGCACAUACACUGACAGACACACUGACACAGGUACAUAUAUUGACACACACACAGACACAUACACUGGUAGACGUACUGACAGACAUACUGACACAGGCACAUAUACA